rnacentral:rRNA from 1 species
GCUGGCGGCACGCCUAACACAUGCAAGUCGAACGAAGUAGCAAUACUUAGUGGCAGACGGGUGAGUAACAUGUAGGUAUCUGCCCUUUGGCCUGGAAUAACACGAGGAAACUUGUGCUAAUACCGGAUAAGUCUUUACGGAGAAAGCUUUAUGCACCAUUGGAUGAGCCUGCACUUGAUUAGUUUGUUGGUGGGGUAAUGGCCUACCAAGACUGUGAUCAAUAGCUGAUUUGAGAGGAUGAUCAGCCACAUUGGGACUGAGACACGGCCCAAACUCCUACGGGAGGCAGCAGUGGGGAAUCUUGCACAAUGGAGGAAACUCUGAUGCAGCGAUGCCGCGUGAGUGAAGAAGGCCCUUGGGUUGUAAAGCUCUUUCGUCGGGGAAGAAAAUGACUGUACCCGAAUAAGAAGGUCCGGCUAACUUCGUGCCAGCAGCCGCGGUAAUACGAAGGGACCUAGCGUAGUUCGGAAUUACUGGGCUUAAAGAGUUCGUAGGUGGUUGAAAAAGUUAGUGGUGAAAUCCCAGAGCUUAACUCUGGAACUGCCAUUAAAACUUUUCAGCUAGAGUAUGAUAGAGGAAAGCAGAAUUUCUAGUGUAGAGGUGAAAUUCGUAGAUAUUAGAAAGAAUACCAAUUGCGAAGGCAGCUUUCUGGAUCAUUACUGACACUGAGGAACGAAAGCAUGGGUAGCGAAGAGGAUUA